rnacentral:rRNA from 1 species
GUUGACCUCGGAUCAGGUAGGGAUACCCGCUGAACUUAAGCAUAUCAAUAAGCGGAGGAAAAGAAACCAACCGGGAUUGCCUCAGUAACGGCGAGUGAAGCGGCAAAAGCUCAAAUUUGAAAUCUGGCCCCUUCGGGGUCCGAGUUGUAAUUUGCAGAGGAUGCUUCGGGUGUGGCCCCUGUCUAAGUGCCCUGGAACGGGCCGUCAUAGAGGGUGAGAAUCCCGUAUGGGAUGGGGUGCCCACGCCCGUGUGAAGCUCCUUCGACGAGUCGAGUUGUUUGGGAAUGCAGCUCUAAAUGGGUGGUAAAUUUCAUCUAAAGCUAAAUACUGGCCGGAGACCGAUAGCGCACAAGUAGAGUGAUCGAAAGAUGAAAAGCACUUUGAAAAGAGAGUUAAACAGCACGUGAAAUUGUUGAAAGGGAAGCGCUUGCGACCAGACUCGCCCGCGGGGUUCAGCCGGCAUUCGUGCCGGUGUACUUCCCCGUGGGCGGGCCAGCGUCGGUUUGGGCGGCCGGUCAAAGGCCUCCGGAAUGUACCGCCUCUUCGGGGGCGACUUAUAGCCGGGGGUGCAAUGCGGCCUGCCUGGACCGAGGAACGCGCUUCGGCUCGGACGCUGGCAUAAUGGUCGUAAGCGACC